GAUGAACGCUGGCGGCGUGCCUAAUACAUGCAAGUCGAGCGAACGGACGAGAAGCUUGCGUCUCUGAUGUUAGCGGUGGACGGGUGAGUAACACGUGGAUAACCUACCUAUAAGACUGGGAUAACUUCGGGACACCGGAGCUAAUACCGGAGGAUAUUUUGAACCGCAGGGUUCAAAAGUGAAAGACGGUCGUGCUGUCACUUAUAGAUGGAUCCGCGCUGCAUUAGCUAGUUGGUAAGGUAACGGCUUACCAAGGCAAGGAUGCAUAGCCGACCUGAGAGGGUGAUCGGCCACACUGGAACUGAGACACGGUCCAGACUCCUACGGGAGGCAGCAGUAGGGAAUCGUCCGCAAUGGGCGAAAGCCUGACGGAGCAACGCCGCGUGAGUGAUGAAGGUCUUCGGAUCGUAAAACUCUGUUAUUGGGGAAGAACAUAUGUGUAAGUAACUGUGCACAUCGUGACGGUACCUAAUCAGAAAGCCACGGCUAACUACGUG
rnacentral:rRNA from 1 species